AGCAGUGGUCGUUGUGCAGCAGGAAUAUCAUUUCAUAGGCAAGAUAAAAAACGGCACGUUGUCUGGUUUGGCUAAAUUUAAUUAAAUCUUCAUGGUAGUUAAUAAAACACUUCUAAGGUCUUCAUUUUCAUAAUCUUACAGUUGUCCUAGAUUUUUGUGCAUCAAUAAAAUAGUGCUUUAUACUUAUUUUCAUUGAUAAUUUCUCGUUUACAGUAAGCAAGUGAUAUAACCUGCAAGCGAUAUUCCAGUGGCGGCGUCACUAUCUAGUUACUUGACGUAACAGAUAGGUACAUGUUUGGAUGCCUAACCCUUAGGCGGCUGAUUACUUUGUAUGGAGUAGUUUAACUACAGUGUAUGUUGCUUUUGUACUUACGUGUAGUACGACAGAUAGGAUUUGGUCUUCAAAAGAGAGAGGUCAUCGAUCGAUGUUCGAAGCAAUACACAUCGAUCGCCGCCACAUUCGAUAAAGACAAGAUAUCCUGAAGGAAGAUCGUUAUGAUUAAACCCGUUAGGGGAGAAGACAUAUCAAUUCAAUAUUAUCACCGUCGUCAUCGUCAACGGUUUGCUAUAGUAUCAACAGCUUAUUACUGAAGUACAAGAAACUGCUUAGGGCUUUAUUGCCAAAGCCUGUUGUAUAAUUAAAUAAUUUCCCAUUCUGAAACCAUCAGCUGCGUUUGCCCUCAAGAUUCACUCGGAAAAGAAUAUAGGUACAUUUAUUUUAUUUGUACAGUUUUCAAUAUAAGAAUUAUUUACUAA